rnacentral:rRNA from 1 species
CCCUUAGAUGUCCUGGGCUGCACGCGCGCUACACUGGAAGUUACGGAUUGAGAUACUACCUUGUCCGAAAUGGUCCGGGUAAUCACCUAAAAGCUUGUCAUAAUUGGAAUGGAUUAUUGUAACCAGUAAUCCUGAACGAGGAAUUCCUAGUAAGUCCCAGUCAACAGCUGGUACUGAUUACGUCCCUGCCCUUUGUACACACCGCCCGUCGCUACUACUGAUUGGACGUUUAAGCAAGAUUUUUAAACACUGACAGUGUGUAGUUCACGCUAUACUACAGUGAGAAGAAGAAGAUCGAGCUUACUUGUCUAGAGGAAGUAAAAGUCGUAACA